rnacentral:snRNA from 1 species
UUGCUUUGGCAGCACAUAUACUAAAAUUGGAAAAAUACAGGGAAGAUACAGGGAAGAUUAGCAUGGUCCCUGCACAAGGAUGACACACAAAUUUGUGAAGCAUUCCAUUUAAAA